rnacentral:rRNA from 1 species
CCUACGGGUGACUGCCGUGAGGAAUAUUGGUCAAUGGGCGCGAGCCUGAACCAGCCAAGCCGCGUGAGGGAAGACGGUCCUAUGGAUUGUAAACCUCGUUUGUCGGGGAGCAAAAGACGCCACGCGUAGCGUUCCGAGAGUACCCGAAGAAAAAGAAUCGGCUAACUCCGUGCCAGCAGCCGCGGUAAUACGGAGGAUGCGAGCGUUAUCCGGAUUUAUUGGGUUUAAAGGGUGCGCAGGCGGAAGAGCAAGUCAGCGGUAAAAUUGAGAGGCUCAACCUCUUCGAGCCGUUGAAACUGGUUGUCUUGAGUGAACGAGAGGUAAGCGGAAUGCGUGGUGUAGCGGUGAAAUGCAUAGAUAUCACGCAGAACUCCGAUUGCGAAGGCAGCAUACCGGCGCUCAACUGACGCUCAUGCACGAAAGUGUGGGUAGCGAACAGGAUUAGAUACCCUUGUAGUC